CGGUACGUUACGCACAAAUUCCGUUGCGCAAUCUCUUCUCGAUGCGAUAUGUUUCUUUGCAAUCUUCGAAAGGCGCAUUAAACUUAUCUACUAACAUCGCUAGUCCAUUUUAAACACGCCAUGACGGAUUACAAAUAUGCGUUUUUUGUUCCUGGAACGAAAGCCGUGUGACACGGAAACGUGUUAUAAAUUUUUUUCCGGAUUUUUCCAGAUGCUCUUAUGCAAAUUUCUAACGAGGUCGACCCAGUUAUAUUUCCAUAUCUGGCAGUAAUCCGGACACGCUCUGUGCGUGUCAACAAGGCGGACACGGCGCUCGAAGUCUGUGCCAAGAAUCUCUGCUGCUAGAGAAUGGAACAAGGAGCGAAGGCGAAAGAAAUCAGUGCAAAAAAAGGCCUGAACAUGACGUUAAUAGACGACUGUAGGACCAUCUCUCUUUUCAUCGAUCUUGCACUUUCACUCUCCCAAGAGAGUGAAUGCAUGCGCCAUUCUCAGCUCCUUAAACUGUCCGAUUUACGCGAACGUCUCUCUCACUCUCUCUCUUUCUCUUACUAAUUGACGUAGGCGGGAGUAAAUGGACGUGGUCUAACACCUUCUCCCUGCGGAUUAACAGCGUUAAAAAAUAAAUUAAAUUUUAACACCACGAAGAGCAGUUCCGAUUCGC
rnacentral:lncRNA from 1 species